UGCGGUUGGACCUGCCUGUGUCUGGGCUGCGAAGAGUAAGCAAAAGAGAAUGACGGUCUUUCAUCAUUGUAUUAGCAAAGAAUCCUGAAAUCGGAUUCAUGUGGCCUGGGGAUGCCGGGGAGUCGCAGAAGACACUUGGGGAAGGCGCUUCAUUUUCAUAUCUGUGAUAAUGCGACUCGCCCCAGCAUGUCGUGGCAAAGCUCCAGUGAGGCGAAGCACCUUGUCAACGCUGGAGAACCACGCAGGUUUGACAGGUGGCUGCGGCUACAGUUGCCUGUUUUGUUUUCUCCUUUGGUCUUUUCCUGUGAAGGUGAGAUUUGGCCAUGCUCUCACUGGGUGUUCAUCCUCCUGCACCCGGGGCUCAUCGCCGGGGUCCCUGAGUCUGACUCGGCAAGAAAUGAUUGAACGUCGACACUGCCAGAGAGAUACCGAGGAAUGGAGAACACCUCGAUCAAAGCUUGACCAAGCUCCUAACGUGCUGCCAAAUUAUAUUUUAAAAGGAGGGUUCCAAUUGUCCAUCCCGCCAGCCCUGUUUGAGAGAGGCCUCUGGUGGAGCCAACCCCAAACCUGCAGUUAGAAAGCGAGCCAGAAAUUGAAGCCAGGUCGCUGGCCCCACGGUGCAGGCUUCUGUACCAUUAGGAGGUUGGCCUUGCUGGUCUCGGGAUCCUGCACUUUGAGAACUGAGAAGUCUUCGGUUUAUGCCACGGUCCCUUUAAGGUUGAUGAAGAGAGAGCCCAACUUACGGAAACUGAGUCCCAUAAUCUGGGUAACUGGGUCACUCCUCUGGUGACUCCACUGGCUUUUGGGGUUUCCCCAUUUGUCUUGCCAAGUCUGGCUUGUCUGUACCCAGAGCAGCAUGAGACCACAGGUGACAGUUUCUCAGAGUGACAGAAACAUACCUGAACCAAGCCCAGAAGUGUGCCUGCACUGGGCCCGCCGGGAAAGUCUCAUCCUUGGGAUGGUUGGGUGAUGAUCGAGAUUGUUUGUUUGUUUGUUUGAUUGAUUCAUUCGUUCAUUCAUUCAGCACGUAUUUAUUGACGGCCUCAUGUUGUGGUCCUGUGUCUGACUCUGAGGGAACCGAGUUGAAUUGGAUGUACUUGUUUCUCUCCCGGGGCUCACAGUCUGGGCCCCAGGAAUUCUACCUCAGAAAAUCUGGGAGGGGCAGUCCAAGAAUAUGGGCCAUCCCCCAGGCGAUUCUGGGACAAGUGGUCUGGGUGGAGGGUGACAGCCUCCAGAAGAUCUGGACCAAGAAGUCAGAGAAACUGUCAUGGG